GCCCAGACUCCUACGGGAGGCAGCAGUGGGGAAUAUUGCACAAUGGGGGAAACCCUGAUGCAGCGACGCCGCGUGAGCGAUGAAGUAUUUCGGUAUGUAAAGCUCUAUCAGCAGGGAAGAAGAUGACGGUACCUGACUAAGAAGCCCCGGCUAACUACGUGCCAGCAGCCGCGGUAAUACGUAGGGGGCAAGCGUUAUCCGGAUUUACUGGGUGUAAAGGGAGCGUAGACGGCGGCGCAAGCCAGAUGUGAAAGCCCGGGGCUCAACUCCGGGACUGCAUUUGGAACUGUGUGGCUGGAGUGUCGGAGAGGCAGGCGGAAUUCCUAGUGUAGCGGUGAAAUGCGUAGAUAUUAGGAGGAACACCAGUGGCGAAGGCGGCCUGCUGGACGAUGACUGACGUUGAGGCUCGAAAGCGUGGGGAGCAAACAGGAUUAGAUACCCGCGUAA
rnacentral:rRNA from 1 species